UAGGGAAUCUUCGGCAAUGGGGGGAACCCUGACCGAGCAACGCCGCGUGAGUGAAGAAGGUUUUCGGAUCGUAAAGCUCUGUUGUUAAGGAAGAACGAGUGUGAGAAUGGAAAGUUCAUACUGUGACGGUACUUAACCAGAAAGGGACGGCUAACUACGUGCCAGCAGCCGCGGUAAUACGUAGGUCCCGAGCGUUGUCCGGAUUUAUUGGGCGUAAAGCGAGCGCAGGCGGUUAGAUAAGUCUGAAGUUAAAGGCAGUGGCUCAACCAUUGUAGGCUUUGGAAACUGUUUAACUUGAGUGCAGAAGGGGAGAGUGGAAUUCCAUGUAUAGCGGUGAAAUGCGUAGAUAUAUGGAGGAACACCGGUGGCGAAAGCGGCUCUCUGGUCUGUAACUGACGCUGAGGCUCGAAAGCGUGGGGAGCGAACAGG
rnacentral:rRNA from 1 species